GGUGGCUCAUUGGUAGAGUGCUUGCCUUGCAUGCAUGUGGUCCUGGGUUCGAUUCCUCAGCACCA
rnacentral:tRNA from 1 species